rnacentral:lncRNA from 1 species
UGCCUGACAAUUGAAGAAGACCAGUUAAGCAAACAGAAAAGGUGAUGAAAAACUGAGUUUGGAGAUGGUUAUGUUCAAAGUGAUGGGAGGGAAAGGGUAAGACAUUAGUUACUAAGGCAACUGUUUGUUUAAUGCUAAAUCAUUUCCUCAUUGAAGGGAGCAGCUUCUGUUUCAAAUUAAUUUCCUAAGCUGUUGUUGCACUACUCACUCUUUCCCCUUACCGUGUUUCACGAUAAGCGCAACCUCUCACCAGCAGCUAUUUUCCAGCUCCCUUCUGACCAUGUUGCUCAGUGAGUGGUCAGGGCACAGGUACAAGGCACAGGCUAUAUGGCUCGUAGCCUUGCUUCAGAUCUAUCAGCAACUGCAUAACACUAGUCUCUAACACAGGAACUGGAGUCACUGACUUGUUGGAAAGCUUCAUAAAGGUAAAGUUUCCUCAGGGGAAAAAAAAAAAAAAAAAAAAAAAAAAAGGUUAACCUUAAUGCCCCUAAUUAUUUUUGAAGUGUAGAAGGUGGUGAUCACAAAAAGUAGGUCUUCUUAGACCAGAAGCUCUACCACUUCCUGAAGAAAACAUAAUAGAAAAUCUCACAGUUGACCAUAUUAAUGUCUAGCCUAAUCUACUUAGCGUGUUUGCCAAUAUAUUUCAAACUCUUUGCUUUUAUUUCUAUACUUUCCUCAUCCAUUUUAUCAUCACCGGCUUUAUUUAAGGGUGGACUUGUACUGAGGACUUGCACUCUCCCUGAGAAUCUUCUGCUGAUCCUUGCCCAAAAUGUGGUGAGUACUAUGGAGAAACUGUAGUAGAUGCUACGCUUUGUUCUAAGUACAUAUGUAAGCUGAAGCUGAGGAUCUUUCAUUUUUGUUUAACAGACAGUGGAACUUCAGUUCUCAACUACAUUUGUUUUUUACUUCUAAACUUGAUGAUUGUAUCUCUUCAGAAUUAAGAAAUCUAAUCACUGAAUCCAAUAGCUUUAUUUAGUGUAAUACAACCUGUCUUCCCAGUGUGCAGAAUGUGUUUAGUACUAAUUACCCUUGUUAUUGUUGUACAUCCAUUUUACAAGCAAAUUUUUAAAAUCUCUAGGUACCGUUAUGACAUGUUAUUUUGUGCUGCGCAAUAAAUUCCUUGUUAAUUGCCA